rnacentral:rRNA from 1 species
GACGAACGCUGGCGGCGUGCUUAACACAUGCAAGUCGAACGGAAAGGCCCUGCUUUUGUGGGGUGCUCGAGGGGCGAACGGGUGAGUAACACGUGAGUAACCUGCCCUUGACUUUGGGAUAACUUCAGUAAACUGGGGCUAAUACCGGAUAGGAGCUCCUGCUGCAUUGUGGGGGUUGGAAAUUUUCGGCGGUUGGGGAUGGACUCGCGGCUUAUCAGCUUGUUGGUGGGGUAGUGGCUUACCAAGUCUUGGACGGGUAGCCGGCCUGAGAGGGUGACCGGCCACAUUGGGACUGAGACACGGCCCAGACUCCUACGGGAGGCAGAAGUGGGGAAUAUUGCACAAUGGGCGGAAGCCUGAUGCAGCAACGCCGCGUGCGGGAUGACGGCCUUCGGGUUGUAAACCGCUUUCGACUGUGACGAAGCGUGAGUGACGGUAACGGGUAAAGAAGCACCGGCUAACUACGUG